rnacentral:lncRNA from 1 species
CUCUUUCAGGUGUUCUCCUUUUGUUCCUUCUUUACCUACUCCCCCACCACCCUCACCACCGGUGUUCCCCUCUCCACCCCCGACACCGGUUUACUCACCUCCACCGGUGUUCUCGCCUCCGCCACCGGUGCUCUCUUCCCCACCACCACCAUCACCGCCACCGCCAUCUCCUUCGCCUCCACCACCUCCAGUUUACUCCCCUCCUCCACCUCCACCAGUUUACUCACCUCCACCACCCCCUCCUCCCCCACCGCCACCACCACCUGUUUAUUUUCCGCCACCACCUCCACCUUCACCACCACCACCGUCUCCCCCUCCACCCUCACCCCCACCACCUUCUCCAUCACCGCCUCCCCCUCCCUCGCCACCACCACCGGUAUUAUCGCCCCCGCCUCCAGUUUAUUGCGUCCGUUCCCCACCACCGCCACCGCCAAAUUCUCCCCCGCCUCCCAUUUAUUCUCCACCACCACCUCCAGUUCAUUCACCGCCCCCACCAAGUCCUUACUAUAGUUCACCACCGCCCCCGCCGCCACAUCAUUCACCUCCACCACCUCCCCACUCGCCACCCCCGCCUCCACCUAUCUAUCCAUACGCAUCACCGCCACCGCCACCCGUGCAUUCCCCACCACCACCUGUCCAUUCUCCACCACCUCCAUGCAUAGAACCGCCUCCUCCUUCUCCACCACCCCCAUCACCACCUCCAUGCAUAGAACCGCCUCCUCCUCCUUCUCCACCACCAUGUGUAGAAUAUUCGCCACCUCCACCAUCACCACACUCACCACCGCCACCACCAGUUCAUUACUUGCCUCCACCAUCACCAUCACCCCCACCACCACCUGUGUAUGCUUCUCCGCCACCUCCACCAUCUCUGCCUCCCCCAGUUUACUACCAUU